rnacentral:miRNA from 12 species
UGCCCCUACUGCCGCUCCACCUUCAACGACGUGGAGAAGAUGGCUGCCCACAUGCGCAUGGUGCACGUGGACGAGGAGAUGGGACCUAAAACCG